CAAUAGCGUAUAUUUAAGUUGUUGCAGUUAAAAAGCUCGUAGUUGGAUUUCGGUUGAGAGCGGCCGGUCCGCCGUUUGGUGUGCAUUGGCUGGUCUCAACUUCCUGCGGAGGACGCGCUCUGGGCUUAACGGUCUGGACGUGGAGUCCGCGUGGUUACUUUGAAAAAAUUAGAGUGUUCAAAGCGGGCUUACGCUUGGAUAUUUCAGCAUGGAAUAACACUACAGGACUCCUGUCCUAUUUCGUUGGUCUCGGGACGGGAGUAAUGAUUAAGAGGAACAGUUGGGGGCAUUCGUAUUUCAUUGUCAGAGGUGAAAUUCUUGGAUUUAUGAAAGACAAACUUCUGCGAAAGCAUUUGCCAAGGAUGUUUUCAUUAAUCAAGAACGAAAAUUGGGGGCUCGAAGACGAUAG
rnacentral:rRNA from 1 species